GACGAACGCUGGCGGCAUUCCUAACACAUGCAAGUCGAACGAGCCCUUCCGGUCUAGUGGCGCACGGGUGCGUAACGCGUCGGAACCUGCCCGUAGACUCGGAAUAACUCCCCGAAAGAGGUCCUAAUAUCAAACACUGUCUUCGGUCCCAAGAAGUAUCGCCUUUGGCUGGGCCCGCGUUCAAUUCGCUCGUUGGUAGGGUAAUAGCGUACCAAGGCGAUGAUCCAUAGCUGGUCUGAGAGGAAGAUCAGCCACGCUGGGGAUGUGACACGGGCCAGUAUCCUGCGGGAGGGGGCAGUGGGGAAGAUGGUGCCACUGGCGGAAGACUGAUCCCGCCACGUCCCGCGGGGUAUCAAGGCAAUCGGGUUGUAAAGUACAAUCAUCUGGGCAGAUAAUGACGGUACCGGGAGAAUAAGCACCGGCUUACUCCGUG
rnacentral:rRNA from 1 species